rfam:Arabidopsis thaliana chromosome 5, complete sequence.
GGAUGCGAUCAUACAAGCACUAAUACACCGGAUCCCAUCAGAACUCCGCAGUUAAGCGUGCUUGGACGAGAGUAGAACUACGAUGGGUGACCUCCUGGGAAGUCCUCGUGUUGCAUCCC